UGUGAGAGAGAACACAGUGAACACAGAUUGUGACCAGGGGAAGAUCCAAUGUAAAGGACACCAGGAAAAGACUACAAACAGGACAUUUUUAUCAUAUCAUGGGGCUGUGAGCACAGCUCUUAGUGGGUAUCCUGUUAUACAGCCCUGGCUAAGUGCGAGGAUUAUUAUACAGCCAUGGAUGAGUGAAGCUGUAGUUACAGAGCUGCUGUGCAGAUCGUCUCUGAAUGUUUUCGACAGUGAGACAGUGCUGUACAGUCCUCAUUGCUGGAGACAUUGACCACACAGGAGCCGUUGCUUAUAAUGAACUGCAGGGCGAGUUGGAACCCAUUUCCAAAAGUUUUCAGCUGAUGCUUGUUUUGAGGGAGAUGCAGGGAUCACUGUGUUAAUGUGCCAAACGCAGGCAGUCUGGUUACAUAUUAUGCAAGAAACACAACUCUAAAUUCAAGUUAUAUUUUAAUGUGGUGAAACUGAAGAUCGAUC